CCCUCGCACCCACUCACCUCCGUCCAUCCUGGGCGCACGCCCGCGUGAUCGCGUUUGAAAUGCAUCGCCAACGACACUACCGCUAGCACCGCGGCAGCGUGGUGUUGUGCACAGUGCUGCACCCACACGCACGCACACACACAUCCACAUAUGCAUAUAUAUGCAAGCCAGCGCCCAUGUCACCUUGCAGCUCAGAGCGCCGCUGAUACCACCACAGAAGCGAGCAGCUAAGGCCCGUCGGCCUGACUCACUCCUCCCUUUUCUACCGGCACGCUCCCUCCUCGUCUUCUCUACUCGCGCCUUUCCCGUCCAUCACUCGUGCUCCUCUGACCUCUGCAUGCCUUCUUGGAUGUCAUACACCGUCUAUGCGUGCUGUGCUUGACCGCAGGUGCACACAGCGCUCGCAUUUUCGGGCCCUGGGGCCUGUUUCCGGACGGCGUCGCUGUCCGUGCGGCUCGCUGCUGUGCGUCUGUGGCGGCGGGGGCAUUCCACCCUCUCCUGAACCCGCGCGUAAGCGUGUGUCUGCGCACAGCGAGCUCACGGCUUGCCGUUGUGAAGGGGCACACAGGGGGGGGGGGGGGGGGGGCAGCCAUAGACACGCGACAGGGGAAGCGCAUGCAGCGCGAGGCAGAUGUGCGCGUAGCCGCAUCACUGCGCGCAAGACCACAGCGCGAAGCGCGCUGCGCUUCGGGCUUCGAGCAACCCGCGAAUCUCGCGUAGCAUACCGGGCACAGCGCCUGGUAUGCCGCCCUCACAGCGAACACAGGCAGGGGAGGGGUGGCGGUGCCGCCUGCUGCACCGCCUGCCUGCGCUUCGGUGCGGGACAGACACCGGCAAGGAGCGCGUGUCGCAUCGUGUAGUGCCGUAGCGGGGGCUGUCGGCCUGGCGUGUGAGACCGGUGGCCGGGUCCGCAAUCCAUGCAGUCGGCGUCGGCGCCCCUGGCAUGGCUGGCUUUGCAAGCGUGCCCGCCACGUCGUUGUGCACCAGCUCCCAAGGGCCAGAGACGGGCUGGAGUGAGGGGCGAACGCGACGGGCCAGCAGCGCCGGCACCUGUGCCCCCCCGCCAAUGCGUCGCGAUGUGCCAUCCUCCACCGCUGUCAGGCCGGUGCGGAGCGUCGUGAGGAGGGAAGCCAGGCUGCUGUGGGUGGGGCCUGUCUUCCAGAUGGUCACGUGGGCAUGCGGCGCGAAGCAGGAGCACCAAACGUGCGAGCGGGCGCAGGGCACCUCAUCGGCAGCAGUUCCGCGGGAGUUCUAGCGGAGCGUACCAUUUUCUUUGUCGGAGUGUUCUCUGUCACUCUUGAAAGGCGUAUAUGUCUGGUGGACGACCACCUAAACACCUCCUCACCCGCACCCCUCCGACUGACGCACAUAC
rnacentral:misc_RNA from 1 species